rnacentral:rRNA from 1 species
CUGGGAUAACUUCGGGAAACCGGAGCUAAUACCGGAUAAGAUUUUGAACCGCAUGGUUCAAUAGUGAAAGACGGCCUUGCUGUCACUUAUAGAUGGAUCCGCGCCGUAUUAGCUAGUUGGUAAGGUAACGGCUUACCAAGGCAACGAUACGUAGCCGACCUGAGAGGGUGAUCGGCCACACUGGAACUGAGACACGGUCCAGACUCCUACGGGAGGCAGCAGUAGGGAAUCUUCCGCAAUGGGCGAAAGCCUGACGGAGCAACGCCGCGUGAGUGAUGAAGGUCUUCGGAUCGUAAAACUCUGUUAUCAGGGAAGAACAAACGUGUAAGUAACUGUGCACGUCUUGACGGUACCUGAUCAGAAAGCCACGGCUAACUACGUGCCAGCAGCCGCGGUAAUACGUAGGUGGCAAGCGUUAUCCGGAAUUAUUGGGCGUAAAGCGCGCGUAGGCGGUUUUUUAAGUCUGAUGUGAAAGCCCACGGCUCAACCGUGGAGGGUCAUUGGAAACUGGAAAACUUGAGUGCAGAAGAGGAAAGUGGAAUUCCAUGUGUAGCGGUGAAAUGCGCAGAGAUAUGGAGGAACACCAGUGGCGAAGGCGACUUUCUGGUCUGUAACUGACGCUGAUGUGCGAAAGCGUGGGGAUCAAACAGGAUUAGAUACCCUGGUAGUCCACGCCGUAAACGAUGAGUGCUAAGUGUUAGGGGGUUUCCGCCCCUUAGUGCUGCAGCUAACGCAUUAAGCACUCCGCCUGGGGGAGUACGACCGCAAGGUUGAAACUCAAAGGGAAUUGACGGGGGACCCGCACAAGCGGUGGRAGCAUGUGGGUUAAUUUCGAAGCCAACGCGAAAAAACCUUUACCCAAAUCUUGGACAUCCUUUGGACCGCCUCUAGAAGAUAGAAGUUUUUCCCCCUUUCGGGGGGAACAAAGUGAACAGGUUGG